rnacentral:rRNA from 1 species
GACGAACGCUGGCGGCGUGCCUAAUACAUGCAAGUUGAGCGAUGAAGAUUGGUGCUUGCACCAAUUUGAAGAGCAGCGAACGGGUGAGUAACGCGUGGGGAAUCUGCCUUUGAGCGGGGGACAACAUUUGGAAACGAAUGCUAAUACCGCAUAACAACUUUAAACAUAAGUUUUAAGUUUGAAAGAUGCAAUUGCAUCACUCAAAGAUGAUCCCGCGUUGUAUUAGCUAGUUGGUGAGGUAAAGGCUCAACAAGGCGAUGAUACAUAGCCGACCUGAGAGGGGGGGCGGGCAAAGUGGGACUGGGACAAGGCCCAAACUCCCUCGGGAAGCAACAAGAGGGAAAUUUCGGCAAUGGAGGGAAGUCUGGCCGAGCAACGCCGCGGGAGUGAAGAAGGUUUUCGGGUCGUAAAACUCGGUUGGUAGAGAAGAAAGUGGGUGAGAGUGGAAAGCUCAUCAAGUGACGGUAACUACACAGAAAGGAACGGCUAACUACGUG